rnacentral:rRNA from 1 species
GAUUUCUGGUAUGGCGCACUUGGCCCGUCUCGGUUACGAGUAUGUGUGCCGGUGUGCGCCUGCCAUCCAUCUAGAGACGGCUUGUUCACCCUUCACUGGGUCGGACUUGUUUGGAUCUAGAUCUUUUACUUUGAAAAAAUUAGAGUGUUUAAAGCAGGCUUGUGCGUGAUGAAUACAUUAGCAUGGAAUAAUGAUUUAGGACUUUGGUCUUAUUUUGUUGGUUUCUAGGACUGAAGUAAUGAUUGAUAGGGACAGUUGGGGGUGCUAGUAUUCAGCGGCCAGAGGUGAAAUUCUUGGAUUCGCUGAAGACUAACUUAUGCGAAAGCAUU